UACGUAGGGGGCAAGCGUUGUCCGGAAUCAUUGGGCGUAAAGCGCGUGUAGGCGGCUUGGUAAGUCUGCUCUGAAAGCCCGGGGCUCAACCCCGGGAGGCGGGUGGAUACUGUCAAGCUCGAGUCCGGAAGAGGAGUGUGGAAUUCCUGGUGUAGCGGUGAAAUGCGCAGAUAUCAGGAAGAACACCUAUGGCGAAGGCAGCACUCUGGGACGGUACUGACGCUGAGACGCGAAAGCGUGGGGAGCGAACAGG
rnacentral:rRNA from 1 species